rfam:Triticum aestivum genome assembly, contig: Triticum_aestivum_CS42_TGACv1_scaffold_578784_7BL
GGAGUACUCCCUCCAUCUGAAAAUACUUGUCAUCAAAAUGAAUAAAAAAAUGAAUAAAAAAGGAUGUAUCUAGCUACUACUAGAUACAUCCCUUUUUAUUCAUUUUGAUGACAAGUAUUUUCGAACGGAGGGAGUAAUUA